CGGGCUUAGUACAUGAGGUGUCCAGUAUAUGUGUUGCAGUCCGUGUAUGCAGGCCCACUGAAAUUCUAUGUACACCCAUUGAGGGGGUUCUUUCCCCGAGUCUGAGGUUGCAACAGCUGCUAGCUGCGUGGCGCAGUAAUACGCCUUUAAGUCUGGCAUCCCCAAACCUCCUUCUGUCACCGGUUUUUGUAAGAGUUUUGUGGCUACACGUAUUUUGCGAUUCGCCAUACAAAUCGCACCAUCAGUGUUUGUAACGUUGCCAAGUAUUUU